GACGAACGCUGGCGGCGUGCCUAACACAUGCAAGUCUUACGAGAAAGGGUAGCAAUAUCCCGAGUACAGUGGCGCACGGGUGAGUAACGCGUAGGCAAUCUGCCUUCAGGACGGGGACAACCCCGAGAAAUCGAGGCUAAUACCCGAUGUUGCAACGGAGCCGCAUGGUGCUGUUGUGAAAUGUUUUCCCGCUUCGGCGGGAUGACGCCAGAAGAUGAGCCUGCGUCCCAUUAGGUAGUUGGUGGGGUAGAAGCCCACCAAGCCGACGAUGGGGUAGCUGGUCUGAGAGGAUGGCCAGCCACACUGGAACUGAGACACGGUCCAGACUCCUACGGGAGGCAGCAGUGAGGAAUAUUGCGCAAUGGCCGAAAGGCUGACGCA
rnacentral:rRNA from 1 species